rnacentral:lncRNA from 10 species
GUUCUGGAGGCUGGGAAGUCCAAGAUCAAAGUGCCAGCAGAUCAGUAACUGGACCUGGAGUCAGCCUGUGAACCACCUUUUUUGGUAUUUCACAUGGCAGCAAUCUCCUUAGCCCUGUGUUUUUGGAAUCCUUUCUGGAAAAUGCAAGAGGAAGAGGAGACGAUGAUUUAAGUGUCAUUUCAAUCUUUGUGCAAGCCCCCUACCCAUCUCUUAGAACUUCUUGAAGCUGUUUGCUUUUGUCUUAUGUAGCUAACAGUACUUCUUUGGACUCUGUGGCCUAAGGCCUCUUUUUGAUGCUUAUUUUAACCAAAUUUUACCUAUCUAAUGACUUGGUCCCUACCUAAAGUCUUAGUCUUUUUCUAGGCUCUAAAGCCAAUGCAGUCUUUGAC